rnacentral:rRNA from 1 species
GAUGAACGCUGGCGGCGUGCCUAAUACAUGCAAGUCGAGCGAACGGACGAGAAGCUUGCUUCUCUGAUGUUAGCGGCGGACGGGUGAGUAACACGUGGAUAACCUACCUAUAAGACUGGGAUAACUUCGGGAAACCGGAGCUAAUACCGGAUGAUAUUUUUAACCGCAUGGUUCAAAAGUGAAAGACGGUAUUGCUGUCACUUAUAGAUGUAUCCCCGCUGCAUUGGUAAGUUGGUAAGGUAACGGUUUACCAAGGCAACGAUGCAUAGCCGACCGGAGAGGGUGACGGCCCCAACUGGAACUGAGCACCGCUCCAGACUCCUAGGGGAGGCAGCAGUAGGGAAUCUUCGGCAAUGGGCGAAAGCUGAACGGGGCAACGCCGCGGGAGGGAUGAAGGUCUUCGGAUCGUAAAACUCUGUUAUUAGGGAAGAACAUAUGUGUAAGUAAAUGUGCACAUCGUGACGGUAACUAAUCAGAAAGCCACGGCUAACUACGUG